rnacentral:rRNA from 1 species
AACGAACGCUGGCGGCAUGCCUAACACAUGCAAGUCGAACGAAGUCUUCGGACUUAGUGGCGCACGGGUGCGUAACGCGUGGGAAUCUGCCCUUGGGUGCGGAAUAACUUCUCGAAAGGGAUGCUAAUACCGCAUAAUGUCGUAAGACCAAAGAUUUAUCGCCCAAGGAUGAGCCCGCGUAAGAUUAGCUAGUUGGUGGGGUAAAAGCCUACCAAGGCGACGAUCUUUAGCUGGUCUGAGAGGAUGAUCAGCCACACUGGGACUGAGACACGGCCCAGACUCCUACGGGAGGCAGCAGUGGGGAAUAUUGGACAAUGGGCGAAAGCCUGAUCCAGCAAUGCCGCGUGAGUGAUGAAGGCCCUAGGGUUGUAAAGCUCUUUUACCCGAGAUGAUAAUGACAGUAGUCGGGAGAAUAAGCUCCGGCUAACUCCGUGCCAGCA